rnacentral:lncRNA from 1 species
ACUGCCGCCUGCCGCCACCGGAAAUCGCCCUACGGUGGAGACAAGACUCCGAUGGCCACCAAACUUACACUAAAGCUCUGCCUCUUCUUCCUCAUACCCAUACCACCAUCUAUUCCCCUCGAAUCCCACCGGAAAUCAUCAAAACCUCCAAACCCUAGGGCGCUUCCCUUGAAUCCUCUAGCGCAGCUGGUGGCGCCACCUUCUUUUCUCACCAGAUUAACACCCUAAAAUCUCCUCCUCCCCAUCAUGCCAAAUGUAAACUCUAUUACCCUCAAGUCACGCUAGAAUCCUUUGAAUGUUAAAUCAAGGAAUGAACCCUAAUUUUGAGAAGUCAUUUUGUUCGAAG